UUACGGCCAGAGUACGUUGAAACACCAAUUCCCGUACGAUCGCCGAAGUUAAGCAUCACCGACCCUGGUCAGUACCUAGAUUGGUGACCACUUGGGAAUACCA